GACGAACGCUGGCGGCGUGCCUAAUACAUGCAAGUAGAACGCUGAAGAGAGGAGCUUGCUCUUCUUGGAUGAGUUGCGAACGGGUGAGUAACGCGUAGGUAACCUGCCUUGUAGCGGGGGAUAACUAUUGGAAACGAUAGCUAAUACCGCAUAACAAUGGAUGACACAUGUCAUUUAUUUGAAAGGGGCAAUUGCUCCACUACAAGAUGGACCUGCGUUGUAUUAGCUAGUAGGUGAGGUAAUGGCUCACCUAGGCGACGAUACAUAGCCGACCUGAGAGGGUGAUCGGCCACACUGGGACUGAGACACGGCCCAGACUCCUACGGGAGGCAGCAGUAGGGAAUCUUCGGCAAUGGGGGCAACCCUGACCGAGCAACGCCGCGUGAGUGAAGAAGGUUUUCGGAUCGUAAAGCUCUGUUGUAAGUCAAGAACGGGUGUGAGAGUGGAAAGUUCACACUGUGACGGUAGCUUACCAGAAAGGGACGGCUAACUACGUGCCAGCAGCCGCGGUAAUACGUAGGUCCCGAGCGUUGUCCGGAUUUAUUGGGCGUAAAGCGAGCGCGGGCGGUUUGAUAAGUCUGAAGUUAAAGGCUGUGGCUCAACCAUAGUUCGCUUUGGAAACUGUCAAACUUGAGUGCAGAAGGGGAGAGUGGAAUUCCAUGUGUAGCGGUGAAAUGCGUAGAUAUAUGGAGGAACACCGGUGGCGAAAGCGGCUCUCUGGUCUGUAACUGACGCUGAGGCUCGAAAGCGUGGGGAGCGAACAGGAUUAGAUACACUGGUAGUCCACGCCGUAAACGAUGAGUGCUAGGUGUUGGAUCCUUUCCGGGAUUCAGUGCCGCAGCUAACGCAUUAAGCACUCCGCCUGGGGAGUACGACCGCAAGGUUGAAACUCAAAGGAAUUGACGGGGGCCCGCACAAGCGGUGGAGCAUGUGGUUUAAUUCGAAGCAACGCGAAGAACCUUACCAGGUCUUGACAUCCCGAUGCUAUUUCUAGAGAUAGAAAGUUACUUCGGUACAUCGGUGACAGGUGGUGCAUGGUUGUCGUCAGCUCGUGUCGUGAGAUGUUGGGUUAAGUCCCGCAACGAGCGCAACCCCUAUUGUUAGUUGCCAUCAUUCAGUUGGGCACUCUAGCGAGACUGCCGGUAAUAAACCGGAGGAAGGUGGGGAUGACGUCAAAUCAUCAUGCCCCUUAUGACCUGGGCUACACACGUGCUACAAUGGUUGGUACAACGAGUUGCGAGUCGGUGACGGCGAGCUAAUCUCUUAAAGCCAAUCUCAGUUCGGAUUGUAGGCUGCAACUCGCCUACAUGAAGUCGGAAUCGCUAGUAAUCGCGGAUCAGCACGCCGCGGUGAAUACGUUCCCGGGCCU
rnacentral:rRNA from 1 species